UACGUAGGGGGCUAGCGUUAUCCAGAUUUACUGGGCGUAAAGAGCGUGUAGGCGGCUCGAUAAGUCCGCUGUAAAAGUCCAGGGCUCAACCCUGGGAUGCCGGUGGAAACUGUCGGGCUAGAGUCCGGGAGAGGCGAGUGGAAUUCCUGGUGUAGCGGUGAAAUGCGCAGAUAUCAGGAGGAACACCAAUGGCGAAGGCAGCUCGCUGGAACGGUACUGACGCUGAGACGCGAAAGCGUGGGGAGCAAACAGG
rnacentral:rRNA from 1 species